rnacentral:rRNA from 1 species
AUUGGAACCACCUGAUCCCAUCCCGAACUCAGAAGUGAAACGAUGCAUCGCCGAUGGUAGUGUGGGGCUUUCCCAUGUGAGAGUAGGUCAUCGUCAAGC